rnacentral:rRNA from 1 species
UACCAGCACCCCGAGUGGUCGGGACGUUUAUUGGGCCUAAAGCAUCCGUAGCCGGCUCUACAAGUCUUCCGUUAAAUCCACCUGCUUAACAGAUGGGCUGCGGAAGAUACUAUAGAGCUAGGAGGCGGAGAGGCAAGCGGUACUCGAUGGGUAGGUAAUCCGUUGAUCCAUUGAAGACCACCAGUGGCGAAGGCGGCUUUGCCAGAACGCGCUCGACGGUGAGGAUGAAAGCUGGGAGCAAACAGGG